CAUAGGACAUAUUUAACCGUUGGGAUUAGCUCAUUGUGAGUGACUUCAACCGAGACCAUCGAGCAAGGGGAUGGAACGUUGUAUGUAUAAUGCCAUGGAGGUAAAGCCUAAGAACCUCAUGCACACUAUGGUUAUGUACCUGGGGCACUCCCCCAUUAUGCUACUGAUGGUAUGGACGCGUAUAUUCGGUAUUGUGUUCGCCACAAUAUCAUGCAGGCCCUCCUUUGUCCGUGGCGUCCGAUAUUGUAUGUCAUACAUACCCAACCAAGCCAGGCCCAGGGAGUUCGCUUGCGAGCUCGCCUGGUGGGCCCACAGUCACAUACGUGGGCCAUGUCUGGGAAAGUACCAUGCAUCCACCCCCGCCCGGACAAAGCAAGGGCCUAAGGCCAUGGGAAGGAAUGGAAGACAGACCCCUCUCUAAGUUUUCUUUCUUUUGACACUUGUGCUUAUGUAUGUGUAUUGUAUGCGAUCGUGUGUAUCCUAAUGUAUGAUUAUAUGCUUGACUCCAACAGUGGGGCAACUUACUGGGUAUUUCAUAUAAUACUCGAGCCACGUGCUACCCAUAUUUUUAGGUAAGGGCAAGGCCCCCAUGUACGGCUGAUGGUGGAUGCUGCGAAAGCCAUGGAAGUCUUAAGGAGGGUUUGUAGUGUCGUAGACGUCUUGUUGGAUUCUCUCGGUUAUUAGUUAUUGCAAUUGUCCCUCUAGUUAUCCGUUGUUUAUUUCUAGGUUAGGCUGUCGUUAUUGUUUUCCCCAGGCAUGAGCUGCUUAUAAUAAUGAACGUCUUGUCAAUUUU